AUUGAACGCUGGCGGCAGGCUUAACACAUGCAAGUCGAGCGGGGGAAGGUAGCUUGCUACCGGACCUAGCGGCGGACGGGUGAGUAAUGCUUAGGAAUCUGCCUAUUAGUGGGGGACAACAUCUCGAAAGGGAUGCUAAUACCGCAUACGUCCUACGGGAGAAAGCAGGGGAUCUUCGGACCUUGCGCUAAUAGAUGAGCCUAAGUCGGAUUAGCUAGUUGGUGGGGUAAAGGCCUACCAAGGCGACGAUCUGUAGCGGGUCUGAGAGGAUGCUCCGCCACACUGGGACUGAGGCACGGCCCAGACUCCUACGGGAGGCAGCAGUAGGGGAUAUUGGACAAUGGGGGGAACCCUUAUCCAGCCAUGCCGCGUGUGUGAAGAAGGCCUUAUGGUUGUAAAGCACUUUAAGCGAGGAGGAGGCUACUUUAGUUAAUACCUAGAGAUAGUGAACGUUACUCGCAGAAUAAGCACCGGCUAACUCUGUGCCAGCCGCCGCCGUAA
rnacentral:rRNA from 1 species